GACAGACAGACAGACAGGCAGACAGACAGGCGGGACAGCAGGGUUGUCUCACAGUCUCUCUCCUCCACAGGACCUGUCUCCAGCCGUCCUUCCUCUGCUCUGGUUGGAGGAAUCCAGGGACCAUGCUCGUGUAAACAGAAACCUGAUCCAGUGCGCAGGGCUUGGGUUUCGGCCCUCCGUACAGCCGCUGAUGAUACCCGAUCCAGCACGGCUUUGGGAACAGAGCUUAUCUGAUGCCUCACAAAAGGCCCCUCACAUCUGGUGCCUCUGCAGGGAGCGCUGUCCCUUUGGGUUCCUCUGGGGGGUGAAGGUAAGGAUAAGAGCGUCUCACUAGUCCCUCGGAAAUACACUUACACAAACUGUAGAGGAAGAGAGACGGUGUAAAGUUACAAUCCUCAACAUCUGGACCGAAUCAUCAAAAUUGGCCACUUUGUGUAGAUUUACUUGUAUUAUGGUCGGUGGAAAUAUGAGCACAGUGAAAAUACUCUGUCAAUUAGGAAGAUGAUUGAAAAGGUUGAACUCCAGUCCUACAGAGAGAUCUACAGUAAAAUCACCUCAGGUUCAGACUGGUGGAGUUUCAACACUAGAGGGCAGUAUCUACACAUCAGCCGGAGAUGAGUGUCUGAGAACACGAAGUUUUUCUUGUAUCAUAUUACAGGCAGAUACUAGGCGGGUGCAUUUAUGGGAAAAAAACACCAAAUACAAAUGUUUCUCAUCUGUUUUUUAUAGUAUUAGACGUCCUUAAUAACAAACUAAAGUUUACCAAAGUUUGACCACUGGAAAGGUGUCAUUUUCAAGAUGGCGUCCAUGAUGGUAGGAGGCCCGGGGAGACCCCCCAGGUAAAAUUUUUAACUAACAGAUAUCAGCAUGAAACUUCCCAAGUUUAUAAUUGACAUUAAGACAAAUAUUUUUUAUAUUACAAGUUUAGUCAAAUGUUUUGUUUGAAUAUGUAAAUGAGGUAAUAUCUAAUUAACUAUGCACUAAUUUACAGACAUUUACAGAAAACUGAACAAUAGAUUAAGACCCUUUCAAAAUCACCACCCCUAAAAAUUCAAAUAUCUCCAUGUGACUCUGACUGUGGGUCACUAGUCGUACUUGUAGUCACUUAUCUAUCAUACAAAUAUGCUAAUUAUAAUAUCAGAUGGUCCAAACAUGUAUCAGGCGCCAGUAUUCCUGGUCUAGAAUGAAUAUAAAGAAGUAAUGAUCAUUUUAAGGACCUGAGAAAAAAACAAAAAAAAAAAACAUGGAGAUAUUUGAGUUUUUAGGGGUGUUGAGAGUAUUUUCUCAUUUACAGAGUUAUAAAAAGAGAUAUCCAAAGUCCCCAUCAAUUUAGGGUUUUUACUCCAAAUUAAAAAAAACUGAAAGCAAACUGGAGACUCACGGUGCCAAAAUAAAACCACAUCAUCAGACAAUAAUAAAUCUUUAUAACAUGACAAACCUGUAGAAGCCUUUAGAAUAUGUGCUAACACCAAUAAACCCUGUGGUUACAGACAGUUACUCACCCCGGAGAACUCCAUAAACACAGAAAUGAAAGAAAAACAUAAAAAUAAAAACUCUGCUAGCUUGUGAUGCUUCACGGUGACUUCCUGUUUACACGGAUAACUGCUCAUGAUUGGACAGUGCUAUAGAUGUUUCCUAGUAACCGAUUUGCUCACUCCGAACGCGAUUGGCUGGUUUAUUUAUGCUUACUAAUACAUAAAAUAGAAUAAAAAUAAAUGAUUAGAUUCAAAACUACGAUGGAGUAUCAGGGCCUGAUACUCCUCCGUACAAAACAGUUCAAUAAAUCAUAAGUUAUUUAUGUUCGGCUGUUCAAACUGGAGAGGACAUAAAGUUCAGUUUUUUUAUAUAUAUAUUAUUUUUAAACAGCUGGGGUAACCCACACUGAACACUGGGGGUCGCUGUUGCCGUACUAAAACUCACAGAGACACUGAUCAACAGGUUAAAUGAACUUUUCUCUCAUUUAAUCGGAUUUGUCUGAUCGAAAAUCUCCUUUUAUUGCCAACUUUAAAGUCUCAGAGUGUAAUCACGAAAGAGGACGUUUCUCAGCCUCACUUUGAUCAUCUUUUAUCAGCAGCUUUUCCAAACUGUGACCAUGGCAACGCGACGGUUCGAGCCAUAGACUGUAUGUAGAACGGUGAAGUAUAGACAGUCUACGGUUUGAGCGGUGUACAGGUGUGCCAGAGCCCACCUGGUUCAAGUCUUUGACUGACCAAAGAGGUUUAAGGAGGGAGAGAGUGAAGGUGGAGCUGAUGAUGAAGAUGAAGAUGAUGAUGAAGAGUGGAGGAGAGUUAAUUACCAUCAUCAAUAAUAAACUCAUAUAUAUGUAUCUGAAGGUGUGUCAGGUGAUGAUGGUCCUGCGGUCCAUCUGCACAUAACGCUCAUUUCCUCCACGUCCGGGACCGGGACCCAAUCAGGACCCUGCCUGUGACGUCACAGACCCGCAGCCCGUAUAAAGCGGUGCGCGUGCUGCAGCGACCACAUUAGAGAGGAUCCGAGUCUGAGAGCAAACCCUCACCUGAUUGGGCCAAAAGAAUUAACCAAUAAAAGAAGAGAAGAUGUCUAAACUGAGCAUCGUUCAGAUCGGAGUGCUUUUGUUUGCCAUCUGUUUAACACGAGAGGUAAGGAGACUCUUUUUAUUUAUACAGCAGAUAAUAAUGUUCUUAAUUUAGUGAUUAUUGAUUUUAUUUCUUUCAUAGAUCAGCGUUAGUUUGAUCACUGAUAAAAGGAUCUUUUUUAAUGAUGGGUUAAUUGAUUAUACAGACAUCUCCAGACUGAUAAUGGGGUUGACUGUAUGGACUGUUUCAGGUUCGACUUGAGUCUCUCUGGGGAAAUUAACAUGAUCAGGGUUAGAUUUCAGGGUGGGUGUAAUUAAAGGUCUUUGUCUGUCAUAAAAGUGUUUUUCACAUGUAUUUCUGCCUCUUCUCUGGCUCACACUCCAGUGAAUUAAUGAUUCAGGUGCACUGUAUUGUGUACCUGUGCAAAGGUGGGGAGAGAAGCUAAAGUUACGUUUUAGUGCGGAGAGCCAAACGAAACUUGACACGCAGGCGCAGAAGCUAUUUUCUCUUAUCUGCAGCCAUCCUAACGCUAUCAGAAACACUCGUGCUUGUUUUUAUGUCCUUUUGGGGACAUGUCUGACUGCAGAUCCAGUUGUUUUAAAGCAGGUUUAAUUCAUGCUCUCAGUUUGCUUCAUUUUGUUGGAAAACCUCAAAUCCCACAAAGUCAAACUUUGUUGAUUAAUUUACAUUUUAUUUAAAUCAUCGGGUUUUUGUCGCCACAGUUUUCCCUCGUUUGCCCUUUAAAGAACAGGCUUUUGAACGGGGUAACUUUGCAGUUUUCAACCCUUCUCAUCCUCCUCUCCCCCACCUCUCAAACAGGCGGUCUCCAAUAACAGCACAGACCCCACAGCGGGAGGAAACUCCACCUCCAACCCCAACGCCACCACCAUGGCAACAGGAACCCUCAGCAGUUCAACCAACACCACUUCCCCUACCGGAGCGGGCGUCUCGCUGCACGCAGCCAGCACCUUCCCCUUCCUGAUCCCUCUCAUCAUGGCCGCCUCUCUUCUGCAGCACUUCUGUUGAAGCCUGGACCCCAGAGCUCCCCUCCUCCUCCUCCUCCUCCUCCUCCUCCUCACCUCCCAGCCAGUCAUCCCACCCGGUCUUGCCUCCUCGUUCCUCCACCCUUCACUGCACAGAGACCACAAGACUAACAAGGAUGGACUUCACAACCCUCUUUGUCCUCCUUAAGUCACGAUAAAAAGAUGCAAUUUAAGACAUUUCUCUCAUUAAAGGGGGUCCAGUCCUCAGCUGGAGAUCAUCACUGAGCCCCCUCAGCCCCCCAUGCAUGGGAUCAAAAGGAGCGUUGGUGCACCCAGCUUCCCUUUGGCCUGCGUUUCCAUAGUCACGCCACCACAUGUUGGAGAUGCUCAGGGCUGCGGUUGUCAUGUCACGUGUCUUGAUUGAAAUGCGGACCACUUGAGUGUACUGAGGUUCUUUUUGUGGCUUCAAAUCCAACUUAACAUUCAAUAUGAAAAGCCUGCGGUUCUGUUCUGUUCUGUUCUGUUCACACACACACACUCCAAACACACCAAGCCAGAUGAAACUUUAGUUGGUUUUUCAUAAUUCGGCUCUUGGGUCUUUUUAUUAGAAAUGUCAAAGAGAUGAUGUAUGUAGCAGAGAGAAGUUGCCGCAGGACUCAGUGUCAGUUUUUGCCUUGUGAUUUCUAAAGAGUUCUGGUCUUUUACAAUGAGGGUUUGAUUGACACCUUUCCCCCCUUCAUCCAUGGGUUAGACCCAGGAAAUGACUGUUUGUGUAACCAUAUGGGAAGGGUUGAUGUUAGAUUUAUAUCCCCCCCUUAUAGUUUAUAUUUUGUAUAAAUGGAAAUGUACUGUUUAUUAGUUUGGAUAUAAGAUAAUGGAAGAAAUGUACAAUAAAUUAUGAAAAACAAACUCUGUAACGGCUCCUCUGGUUUCUG